rnacentral:rRNA from 1 species
GACGAAUGCUGGCUGCGUGCUUAACACAUGCAAGUCGAACGGUGAAGGAGAGCUUGCUCUCCGGAUCAGUGGCGAACGGGUGAGUAACACGUGGGCAACCUGCCCCUCACUCUGGGAUAACGCCGGGAAACCGGCGCUAAUACCGGAUACGACCAGGCGCGACAUCUCGCCUGGUGGAAAGCAUUUCGGUGAGGGAUGGGCCCGCGGCCUAUCAGCUUGUUGGUGGGGUAACGGCCCACCAAGGCGACGACGGGUAGCCGGCCUGAGAGGGCGACCGGCCACACUGGGACUGGGACACUGCCCAGACUGCUACGGGAGGAAGCAGUGGGGAAUAUUGCGCAAGGGGCGAAAGCCUGAGGCAGCGACGCAGCGUGAGGGACGACGGCGUUCGGGUUGUAAACCUCUUUCAGCGGGGACGAAGCGAAAGUGACGGUACCCGCAGAAGAAGCACCGGCUAACUACGUGCCAGCAGCCGCCGUAACAC